GUGGCUUAGUGGUUAAAGCGUCCGCCUCAGAUGCGGGACGUCGCGGGUUCGAAUCGCAGCCGAGUCA